CACACAUCACGUAACAAGAGUGACGGCGUUAGGGACGAUAAACACCGCUCGAAGAGCUGGCAGCAAUGCGCAAGAUUUAUCGCGUGUGCAGUGGAAUGAAGAUCAUAUCGAGACAGGUCCAAUAUGAGGGCUUUCGAAAUUCCCGCGAUGACCAGUGUUCAGGCUGCAAGGAGUCUUUCCACCAGGUGCAGCUGUUACAGGGAGCGUCUGAUGUGGACACAAAAAGGCAAAAGUGAAAGGAAUAAAACUGUAUCGGCAGAUUUAGCAAUACUUUGUAUUUUACUUGGAAACAAAAUCAUGAAAAUCACCUA